UAGGGGGAAAUCAAGAGUGCUUUAUUCAAGAGCUGGAAUGUCCAAGAACCUGCCAGAUCCUGCCAGGGACAUGUCCAGCUCUACAUGAAUUCAGGUGGAAUCUUCAGUCUGCAAACGAACCGGAGAUACAGUGUAGCAUUUGAGCCCUAACUUCUCCAGAGGAAGCAUAAGUGGUGGCAUGAGCAACUUUGGAAGCUUAUGUGUUGAAGAAAUACGUGUCUCCCCAAGUGUGUUUCCCACAGUGAUACUAUUUUGCGUCAAACAAAUAAAAAGCCUAUUUU